CCGGCAGGUCCUCCUCCUUUUCCUUCAUCCUCACCUCAUCCUUCGUCGAGGUUGCAGUGCUUUCCUCAGGAGGGCGCUGUUGUUGGGCGAGACCACGACCAGAAAGAAGCAAAGAGGUGUCAAUGGGAGGCCAAUACUGGCACACUGGAUGCAAGUUGCCUUAUAUAAGUACUAUUUUAAUUACAUUAAAAAAAAAAAAAAACUAAUAAGGUAAUCGUAACGAGGAUAAGCUGUAUCGAAAAUGAACGGAUGGCUCAUUAUAAGUAUUACAACGUGAUGCUCUGAGUAAGCACUAAUGCUGUUCUGAAAGUAGUGCACCCGUCAUGCGACGUUACAAAUUUCUAGGAAUGUUGUGGAAAUGAUCAUUUUAUAACACUGCCAGAGAUUUAUAGAAGCAAAUGUUGAUAGUGAAUGACUUCCCAAUUAUUUUGAGAAAUCAUUUACAUAAUGAGUGUCUUUGACAUAAAUAAUUUACAUAAUCAAAGUAUCCAUACUGUAUCAUAAUUUGUUUUCAAUAAUCAUAUAUCAAGGUAAACUUGAUCACGCAAGAUCUUCCCCUUUGCCACAUGUGAUCAAAAUGAAUGGGAUCUAAUGGUGCGCAAAAAAGAAGAGAGCACACUCGGCAUUUUUUAGUCUGCCCUGACUCAUUGAGCAGUCUGGCGGUCUGGUGAAUAAACAAGACAUGACGUCUCUGCGUGGUCUUACAAAACCAAGCUUUUAUAGCACCGAUAAACCAAUCACUGGGCCAGAAAGGAAGCUGUCCCACAUGCUCGUCAGCAGAUUCGGGAGGAUGCGCGUGCGAGCUUCAGACCAAAAAAGGGCGGCGAGGGUGAAUGGUGUGACACGCAGGAUGUGGGAAGGCACCACUCAGUGUCUUUUAUGGAGGAUCGCUGACUCAACUGAGAGCCCACACCUUGUUUUUCCUGGAUUUGAUACUGGAAAACUCAUGACUAAAAGUGGAGAACAAACAACAAAGACAGAGUGAACAGUAAAUGAGUCGUCUUUUUAAUUACAAAUAUGUAUUAAAUAAUAUGAAAGGUACACAUAGAGAGGUAUGCAGUAAUCAUGAAGGUAUUAUCAUAGUAAUGAUGAUUACGUAUGAAUAUUUACAAUGUUUAUAUAUCUGUAUAUGUACGCGUAUAUCAACACGUUCCUCAAACAGGACACGCAACAAAACAUUCACAUAGGUGUCACAACAAAUAAAAAAAUGCUGCGGAAGGGUGG